CAACGCUCCUCAAUGACAGUUCAAGAUAAACAAUCCAAAAAAAUGGAUUCGUAUCAGCUGUUCAGUCCGUUCAGUCGCUUCUGGAAUUGUGUAAAUAGACAAAAAAAAGUUUUCCUGCUACUAAUAUAUAAGAAUGAAAAACUUCGACGAUCAACAUUCCCAAUAACAGCGACAACUCAAAAAGCUGAAACACUGUUGAAUCGGGAUACCAUUCACGUCACUUUUUUCUCUUCUGACAACGACACCGAUUCCGCCGAACCGAAGUACCAAAGAAGGAAGUAACUCUCCCUAGAGCGCCCUCUCGCAGUGAGCGACAGGAUAAGUCCAACCGUGUCCAAAUAGUUUCGUCUAAUGAGACUUGAACCGCUCCUCAUUCACGAUACUGAAAUACUUCCGCAAGUGUGCAUCGUUCUGUCCGGAUGGAACGACGUGUCCUGUUCCGGGAGGCAAAUUGUUGUUGCCCGGUUGAGCGUGAUUCAAUACAUUUGUCAGAGGACUUCGUCCCUUGUGUUUGCUACUGUUUAGGGACAUCGUGUUCACGCUAUCCGGGUCCGCCUUCCAUUCUUUCUUUCGACUGUCGUAUUCCUCGCUGAGUACUGCGAGUCCGAGCGGAGUCAGGUAAUCUUUUGUUUCGAAACUUCGCUUCAGUAGACGAGCAUGUUGCUGGUGGCCGAUGUCGAAUCGUAGAUUUAUACUGGUAAAAAAAUACACAGAAUGGGCCAAUUAUUCGAUUAAAAUGAGCAUCAAGUGAAAAAUCGUGCUACAAUUUUCAAAUAUGUUCAGGUCGUUCAGGUAUCAAACUAGUCAACUAGUCAACGAGCGUCAAUCGGCGCACCAGCUAUCAAACCACCAAAAAUGCUUCCAGUGACUUUACACCACUGAAAGCAAAGCAGAAAACCCGUUCAGGAGUGUAGAUAAACAAUUCAAAAAGUAGAUGUUGUUUCCAAACGAGAUACAGAGAUUGUACUAUACUACAGAACGGAAAGAAUGUGGCACAGUAAGCAAGGUAGGAGAGGCAAUUGGCUGGUACUUCGGAUAACGAUGUUUUCAUACAGGAACGAAUCGUAGCGAUCGUAGCCUUGCUAAAAAGAUCAUGGGUUGCAUUUCUACCGUCAAGAAGUGGAUGAUGUAGCUGUAUCCCAUAUUAAAGAAUCCGUUCUCCCACCGAGGAAAUCGUCCCGGAGCCUUAUGCUGAACUACAUAUGAUUUGAAAGGCGAUUCACAAUUACGACCUAGGAUUAGUCCUGAACCAACGACACUUUACGACACGAUCAAACUUAACCCUUCCAACUGGAACCUAGAUAUAUGGCUAAUACUGAUGACGAGAUGGUUGGAGCCGUAUGGAAUCACAUUGUUUUAUUUGAAGGUUUAUCUGAGGAAAGACUUACAACUUGCUUACAACGCUUGUGUAGAGUAGUGCGCGCUGGCGAAGCUGCAUCACCUUUGCUAUCUAUUUUGGAACCAUGAGACGGAACAAGUGGCUUGUUGUAGAUGACAUCAAUAUAUACAAAAACUAUUAUUAUUAACAGACAGGUUAUAAUCUAAAUAUGGUAAGUGAAUUUAAUGCAAGUUUGAAGAUAAGUCGUAGGAUUUACCUCACAAUCGUUCUCAGCUGGUUCUCAGCUAUUCAAAUUAUUACGUUAAAUGAGUUGAAAUAUGAUAUUGAUUAGACCAUCGAGUUUGGGAGGUUAGAUCUUAAAAUUAGUAAUCGGCUAGAAAUCAUUUUAAGAUUAAAAUGCUGUUUUAGUUAUUAGGGUUAUAAUGAAAA